GUGGUAAUUCUAGAGCUAAUACAUGCAGCAGAGCUCCGACCUUCGGGGACGAGCGCUUUUAUUAGACCAAGACCAAUCGGACUUCGGUCCGAAGCUCAUGGUGACUCUGGAUAACUUUGGGCUGAUCGCACGGUCUCGUACCGGCGACGCAUCUUUCAAGUGUCUGCCUUAUCAACUUUCGAUGGUAGGUUAUGCGCCUACCAUGGUCGUAACGGGUAACGGGGAAUCAGGGUUCGAUUCCGGAGAGGGAGCCUGAGAAACGGCUACCACAUCCAAGGAAGGCAGCAGGCGCGCAAAUUACCCACUCCCGGCACGGGGAGGUAGUGACGAAAAAUAACAAUACGGGACUCUAUUGAGGCCCCGUAAUUGGAAUGAGUACACUCUAAAUCCUUUAACGAGGAUCUAUUGGAGGGCAAGUCUGGUGCCAGCAGCCGCGGUAAUUCCAGCUCCAAUAGCGUAUAUUAAAGUUGUUGCGGUUAAAAAGCUCGUAGUUGGAUCUCAGUUCCAGACGGGUGGUCCACCUUUGGUGGUUACUGCCUGGCCUGAACAAAUCCAGCCGGUUUUCCUUGAUGCUCUUCACCGAGUGUCUUGGGUGACCGGCACGUUUACUUUGAAAAAAUUAGAGUGCUCAAAGCAGGCGUGACGCCUGAAUAAUGGUGCAUGGAAUAAUGGAAUAGGACCUCGGUU
rnacentral:rRNA from 1 species